AACGAACGCUGGCGGCAGGCCUAACACAUGCAAGUCGAGCGAAGCCUUCGGGCUUAGCGGCGGACGGGUGAGUAACGCGUGGGAACGUGCCCUUUGCUACGGAAUAGCCCCGGGAAACUGGGAGUAAUACCGUAUGUGCCCUUUGGGGAAAGAUUUAUCGGCAAAGGAUCGGCCCGCGUUGGAUUAGGUAGUUGGUGGGGUAAUGGCCUACCAAGCCGACGAUCCAUAGCUGGUUUGAGAGGAUGAUCAGCCACGCUGGGACUGAGACACGGCCCAGACUCCUACGGGAGGCAGCAGUGGGGAAUCUUAGACAAUGGGCGCAAGCCUGAUCUAGCCAUGCCGCGUGAUCGAUGAAGGCCUUAGGGUUGUAAAGAUCUUCAGGUGGGAAGAUAAUGACUGUACCACCAGAAGAAGCCCGGCUAACUCCGUGCCAGCAGCCGCGGUAAAGU
rnacentral:rRNA from 1 species